UACGAGUGCGUCGAGCGUUAUCCGGAAUCAUUGGGCGUAAAGGGUGUGUAGGUGGCGUUGUUAGUCUCCUGUUAAAUUCCUCGGCUCAACCGGGGGCUCGCGGGAGAAACGGCAAUGCUAGAGGUUGGUAGGGGUUUCUGGAACUCUAAGUGUAGCGGUGAAAUGCGUUGAUAUCAAGUGGAACACCAGUGGCGAAGGCGGCUCACUGGCCCGAUACUGACGCUGAGGCACGAAAGCGUGGGGAGCAAACAGG
rnacentral:rRNA from 1 species